UUGAAAGGGAAACGAUUGAAGUCAGUCGUACCGACGAGAAAUCAGCUUUUCGAAUGUGCAUUUGUGGGCGUAUGAGAUCUUCAUUGUUUGCAAUAUGUAUGUUUCUUUGGUGUACUUUUUCGUAUGGUAGGUCAACGUCGGUUUUGAUCGCCAUAAAAUGAUCGGAGGAAUGUAGCUUCGGCCUCGGUUGAAGUGUUAUAGCCUUUGGUAAAUGUGGUGAUUAAGACCGAGGAUUGCAACGAAUACCUUUUAGGCUAUCCGUCUGACCUCUGAAAGUUACUUAGGUGUCGAAAGCUUGCUUACGGUCAUUUAAGUUGACGGUCAAUAGGUUAGAACGUGAUUACAUUCGUUAAGGAUGUUGACGUA
rnacentral:rRNA from 1 species